AUUGAACGCUGGCGGCAUGCUUUACACAUGCAAGUCGGACGGCAGCACAGAGAAGCUUGCUUCUUGGGUGGCGAGUGGCGCACGGGUGAGUAACAUAUCGGAACGUACCGAGCAGUGGGGGAUAACUAAUCGAAAGAUUAGCUAAUACCGCAUAUCUUCUGAGGCAGAAAGCAGGGGACCAUUUGGCCUUGCGCUGUUUGAGCGGCCGAUAUCUGAUUAGCUAGUUGGUGGGGUAAAGGCCUACCAAGGCGACGAUCAGUAGCGGGUCUGAGAGGAUGAUCCGCCACACUGGAACUGAGACACGGCCCAGACUCCUACGGGAGGCAGCAGUGGGGAAUUUUGGACAAUGGGCGCAAGCCUGAUCCAGCAAUGCCGCGUGUCUGAAGAAGGCCUUCGGGUUGUAAAGGACUUUUGUCAGGGAAGAAAAGGGCGGGGUUAAUACCCCUGUCUGAUGACGGUACCUGAAGAAUAAGCACCGGCUAACUACGUG
rnacentral:rRNA from 1 species